rnacentral:rRNA from 1 species
AAUAGAUACCCCGGUAGUCCUAGCCGUAAACGAUGAACACUAGGCGUAGUCGGUAUCGACCCCGGCUGUGCCGUAGCUAACGCAUUAAGUGUUCCGCCUGGGGAGUACGGCCGCAAGGCUAAAACUCAAAGGAAUUGACGAGGGCCCGCACAAGCAGCGGAGCGUGUGGUUUAAUUCGUCGCAACGCGAAGAACCUUACCAGGGCUUGACAUGUGGCGGAAAACGGCGGAAACGUCGUCCUCCCGCAAGGGACCGUCAUGCAGGUGUUGCAUGGCUGUCGUCAGCUCGUGUCGUGAGAUGUUGGGUUAAGUCCCGCAACGAGCGCAACCCCCGUGGCAUGUUGUAUCUCUCAUGCCAGACUGCCGAGAGAAACUCGGAGGAAGGUGGGGAUGACGCCAAGUCAGCAUGGCCCUUACGUCCUGGGCUACACACACGCUACAAUGGCCGGUACAACGGGUUGCCAAACCGCGAGGUGGAGCUAAUCCCUUAAAGCCGGUCUCAGUCCGGAUUGCAGGCUGCAACUCGCCUGCA